rnacentral:lncRNA from 1 species
UCUGUUUUGAAGGUACAGACUGCGUUGUACUUCAUAUGAUGCGGGACCUUUGAUGAAGCUAUACCCCUGGUGAAAUUUACCCUGUCAUGGCUGCUCUAUUUUGAAAGGAAACAGCUGUUUUUCUAAUGUUCCUGUGGUUUUAUGAACACAAUGUUUCCUUUAUGAGACAAAGUGGAUUCAAAUGAGCUCCCUCAACUCCCUCCAGGAAGAAAUUUCUAGAAUGUUUUGUAACUUAGUAUUGCUUGAUAAAUGUUAGAUUGCAGAUUAUCAUAGGUGGAGUGCCUAGGGCUCCUUAAAUGAUGCCAUUUGCUUGUUUAUUUUCUUCUCAGGCUAGGGAAUUGCUUUAUGAACUCUGAGUCAUAAAGGAGAGCAACUGAGUGGGAAGAAAGACAUUUGGUAUAAUACUUCAUUGACUGAAAAGGAAAUUGGAUUUUACCUAUUGCAAAAGAGGUCACAAAUUUUAUUUUUGCAUGGGAAAAAGUGUAUCUAUUUAGUAAGAUGUGAGCCUAAAAUAAAGAGUACUUCAAACCUAUGCCUCCAGCAAAUGGGCAAUAAUUUCUAUUUUUCAUAGGAUUUUCACAUUUGGUAACCUUAAACUUUUUUUAUAACUUUGAUUGAUUGUUUUCUGUAUUUGUUUUCAACCUUGCUAUAUGGAUAAAGUACACUUGUUUAAACACAGAAAUCCUUCUGUGGGAAGUACAGUUAUUUAUAUUUGACAUAAAUUUCUGCAGGUGAUUUAUAAGGCAGCUGAAAUGUAUUAAGCCAAUGUGGAGAGAAGAAAGUAGUUAAAUAUAUGUGUAUAGAGCUUAUGCUAGCAAGAAUUCCAAUUUAGUCUUGGUCCACAUUGCUUUAAGAAAUCAUUGCUUAUAUUUUAGAAGACUGCAUGCAAAAUAGGAAAAAGAAAAUGAAUUAAAUUUAGAAUUGAGUAAUAUAUUAGGCAGUAGGCAUUUAAAAUCCACAUAUCAAAAUACAAUGAAAUAAUGCUACCUGGAUAUCAAACGUGCUAUUCAAUAGGUGUAGAUAUCUUUUUACAAACAAACUGUCAUUUUCUUAAAAAAAAAA